CAAAAACAUAUCUCAGUAAACUGUCAAGCAGCUAAGAGCGAAGAAAAAAUGAGCGGCGGAAUCGACGGUGAAAAAGUAAUUUUUUCCCACAAAUCCGGCCACGGGAAUCGGCUGGUCAAGUCCCCGAAAGAGCCGUUUCUUCGCCAUGAGGAAUCUCGGUAACGAUGACCCCGAAGCUGCUCUGUCGAAAAUCCGUUCCAGCUGUGUGACGGUGACUCAAUUUACACUCCAAACAUCCGUUCCAGCUGUUCAAUUCUGGUUCUUUAUCGAGCGCAGAUUCACGAGGCCCACGGGAGUGUGCCGUGUCCAUCAAAUUCAGAUUGAUUACGAGGAAAUUUAUACGAAACUUUAACCUCGGGAAUCGGGAGGAACGGACGCGAACAGUUUCUAUCUGUAGAAUAAUCAUUAUGGCGAACCUGUGCCAAUACCGGUGUUCUCAGCCUGGUUAAAUGUAUACUUAUCGAGGAGGAAAAGGACCUGUAACUUUUUGUCGGCCGGAAAUCGCGGGAUUCUCCUAGAUAAUGUUCGUGUGUACUAACGCACAAGCAGGUGAAAUUCGUUGCCCCGUCGUAACCAUCCUCAACGUGUGAUUUGGUCGACGUGUGAUUGGGUUGUUAAAAUGUAUUAUUAAGCUAACGAAAAAGUUUUGACUACUAAAACCCAUUCGAAAUGA